rnacentral:rRNA from 1 species
CCUACGGGGGGCAGCAGUGGGGAAUAUUGCACAAUGGGGGAAACCCUGAUGCAGCGACGCCGCGUGAGUGAAGAAGUAUCUCGGUACGUAAAGCUCUAUCAGCAGGGAAGAAAAAAAGUCUUUGGCUUUGGACGGUACCUGACUAAGAAGCCCCGGCUAACUACGUGCCAGCAGCCGCGGUAAUACGUAGGGGGCAAGCGUUAUCCGGAUUUACUGGGUGUAAAGGGGGCGCAGACGGCAAUGCAAGCCAGGAGUGAAAGCCCGGGGCCCAACCCCGGGACUGCUCUUGGAACUGCAUGGCUGGG